rnacentral:rRNA from 1 species
GAUGAACGCUGGCGGCGUGCCUAAUACAUGCAAGUCGAGCGAAUGGAUUAAGAGCUUGCUCUUAUGAAGUUAGCGGCGGACGGGUGAGUAACACGUGGGUAACCUGCCCAUAAGACUGGGAUAACUCCGGGAAACCGGGGCUAAUACCGGAUAACAUUUUGAACCGCAUGGUUUGAAAUUGAAAGGCGGCUUCGGCUGUCACUUAUGGAUGGACCCGCGUCGCAUUAGCUAGUUGGUGAGGUAACGGCUCACCAAGGCAACGAUGCGUAGCCGACCUGGGAGGGUGAUCGGCCAACCUGGGACUGAGACACGGCCCAGACUCCUACGGGAGGCAGCAGUAGGGAAUCAUCCGCAAUGGACGAAAGUCUGACGGAGCAACGCCGCGUGAGUGAUGAAGGCUUUCGGGUCGUAAAACUCUGUUGUUAGGGAAGAACAAGUGCUAGUUGAAUAAGCUGGCACCUUGACGGUACCUAACCAGAAAGCCACGGCUAACUACGUGCCAGCCGCCGCGGUAA